UGGGGGGGACACCCUCCAUGGCAAUAACACCUCCCUCUCUCCUCCUUCCAGAUCUAGAGAUGCUGGGGAGAGAGGCCACUGCUGGGCCCCUCUCCCUUUUCUUAUUGAAAUGAAGGGCGAUGGGGGGAAAGCAUUGAAAAUAGCUUUUCAGCUCCCAGCCUGCAAGGGUUUCUUCCCUCCCUCCCCCUUUCUUCCCUUUGAAUCGAACCAGAUGUCUCUCCCAUGAAAUGAGAUUGCCUGGCUCUUGCUGGAGAGAGACAAUGCGGGAAGAUGGGAGAUCCCCCAUCCAGCGCACUCCACUGCAGCCCUGGCAGAGACCGUGUCUGCAUCUCUGGCUGGGCGUGAGGGGGGUGUGGGGGCAGAAGGGAGGUUGGUGAUAGAAGAAGGAAUUUGCUGCCCCCCCAUCACUGUAUUAUUUCCCCCCUUUUCUUUUUGCUCUCAGCGCUUUGCCAACAAGGUCUCUCUCUCUCUCUCUCUCUCUCUCUCUCUCUCUCUCUCUCUCUCUCUCUCUCUCUCUCUCUCUUCUGGGUUUGACAGCAGAAGAGCUCAGCUGGGGAAUGAACUCAGCAGCUGCACAAGGAAAUGUCUCAUGCGGUGACUCAACAAGACUGAUGUGGUCAGCUCUGCCCAUCUUUCAUGAGUCCUGUUCAGUGCCCAGAUCGCCAGCCCCCGGUCUCAGUCCCAGCCUUUGGAUGCUGUCUGCCUGCACAUGUCCAGCAGUGGAAGAGAUUGGGAGCCAGGAUCCCCAGCAGCCUGCUCUUCCUGGAGAUACCUAGCCCCGUGCCCCUGGUGAUACCAGCUCUGGAUCCAUGGCACGACAGCUUACAGAUGUCUGCCAUGUCGUGGGAGCUGCCCCGAGCCUCUUGGUUUGCUGCUAUAGCCAUGGAGGGGCAGAGAGCCAGGCAGGCACUGCCAGGAGCGCAGCUGGGGGCCGCAGCGAUGCAGCCCGUCAGCUGUCGGCAGGGGAGCCGGUGCCAGUGUUUUGCUCCCUGACAGUGGCUUCAGCUUCAUGUGACAGGCAACCGGCUGGCGAAAACACAGACUCAAAGCCACUGCCUCUGAGUCACCGGUGCUCAGUGCCGGACAGGGGAGUCACCAGGCGUGGCGAUUCUGGGUGUCGAAAGACCUGGUCCUGCCUUUCCCAGCGCCAAAGCCAGCAGCCGGGAUGAUCAGCCGAAGCCUGGGGGUGUCUGUGCUUUCCUGCAAUCCCAGCGCACGGUGCCCGAGUCCCCUUGACGCCUGUCCCAAGGGGUGGAUGCAUCAAACCCAGCACCGGUGCUGUGCAGGGUUGUGGGGGGGGGCACAGGGAUCAGCCCCAGAAGAAGGAUCCGGUCGGACUGGAGUCAGCCUCGCAGCCUGGCACAGACAGGUCAGAGCCUCCGCUCCUGGGGUCCCAGGGCAUUGCCCAGCCUGCUCCGUGGGCAACAGCACGGAGGGGGUGUGGAGACUCCUUGGAGGCCAAGUUCCCUUCCCCACGCCGCUGCGGCCUGGCUGCCUCCACCUUUUGAAUCCGGAUUCAACUCCAGCUGUGUAAACAGAGUCACUCCAGAUUGACGCUGGCGGGGGUGAGAGCAGGGGAGGCUGAGGGCCCCUUGCUCCAUCCUGCCCAGCAUCUCUCCCACUGCCCUCCCCAGGCCUGGGGGAAGCUGAGCUGCUGCCCCCUGAGCAUCCUGCCCACGGCUGGUCCAAAGUGCCAGUG